GAUGAACGCUGGCGGCGUGCCUAAUACAUGCAAGUCGAGCGAACAGACGAGGAGCUUGCUCCUCUGACGUUAGCGGCGGACGGGUGAGUAACACGUGGAUAACCUACCUAUAAGACUGGGAUAACUUCGGGAAACCGGAGCUAAUACCGGAUAAUAUAUUGAACCGCAUGGUUCAAUAGUGAAAGACGGUUUUGCUGUCACUUAUAGAUGGAUCCGCGCCGCAUUAGCUAGUUGGUAAGGUAACGGCUUACCAAGGCAACGAUGCGUAGCCGACCUGAGAGGGUGAUCGGCCACGCUGGAACUGAGACACGGUCCCGACUCCUACGGGAGGCAGCAGUAGGGAAUCUUCCGCAAUGGGCGAAAGCCUGACGGAGCAACGCCGCGUGAGUGAUGAAGGUCUUCGGAUCGUAAAACUCUGUUAUUAGGGAAGAACAAAUGUGUAAGUAACUAUGCACGUCUUGACGGUACCUAAUCAGAAAGCCACGGCUAACUACGUG
rnacentral:rRNA from 1 species